rnacentral:lncRNA from 10 species
AGAAAGAACGCAGCCCUACUGACACCUUGGUUUUGGCCUGGUGAGACCAACUUUGGACUUUUCACUUCCAAAACUGUUUAAAGAAAAAAGUCUACAGUUCCAGUUAGUCUACUUUUGUAACAGGACCUGACAACUCCACUCUACUUCCAAUCCUGAAAGACUACAGGAAAAACUAGCCCAAGUGACUGAGCUGGGGGGUCCCAGUCAUCGGUAGCAUGGAAAACGAAGAGUGCUCUGGACAGUGGGUGGAGAAGAUUCAAGUACAUCUUCCUUGCUGACAAUAUGCUCUCCUAUCUUUUGUAAGAGUACACAAUUUAAAUUUCUAAAAAUUCAUUACAAUACAAAGCAAAACAAUCCCUCGUAGAUUUAUAAUCAAACUAAUAUGCCACUUAGAAAAGAUUUGAAAUAAAUGCAAAUACCUAGGUACAA